GACGAACGCUGGCGGCGUGCCUAAUACAUGCAAGUAGAACGCUGAAGGAGGAGCUUGCUUCUCUGGAUGAGUUGCGAACGGGUGAGUAACGCGUAGGUAACCUGCCUGGUAGCGGGGGAUAACUAUUGGAAACGAUAGCUAAUACCGUAUAAGAGUAGAUGUUGCAUGACAUUUGCUUAAAAGGUGCAAUUGCAUCACUACCAGAUGGACCUGCGUUGUAUUAGCUAGUUGGUGGGGUAACGGCUUACCAAGGCGACGAUACAUAGCCGACCUGAGAGGGUGAUCGGCCACACUGGGACUGAGACACGGCCCAGACUCCUACGGGAGGCAGCAGUAGGGAAUCUUCGGCAAUAGACGGAAGUCUGACCGAGCAACGCCGCGUGAGUGAAGAAGGUUUUCGGAUCGUAAAGCUCUGUUGUAAGAGAAGAACGAGUGUGAGAGUGGAAAGUUCACACUGUGACGGCAUCUUACCAGAAAGGGACGGCUAACUACGUG
rnacentral:rRNA from 1 species